rnacentral:rRNA from 1 species
GUGCCAGCCGCCGCGGUAAUACGUAGGACGCGAGCGUUAUCCGGAUUUAUUGGGUUUAAAGGGUGCGUAGGCGGACCUAUAAGUCAGUGGUGAAAGACUGUUGCUUAACGAUAGCAUUGCCAUUGAUACUGUAGGUCUUGAGUACAGUUGAGGUAGGCGGAAUGUGUAGUGUAGCGGUGAAAUGCUUAGAUAUUACACAGAACACCGAUUGCGGAGGCAGCUUACUAAGCUGUAACUGACGCUGAUGCACGAAAGCGUGGGGAUCAAACAGGAUUAGAAACCCUGGUAGUCC